GAUGAAGAACGUAGUGAAAUGCGAUAAGUGAUGUGAAUUGCAGAAUUCAGUGAAUCAUCGAAUCUUUGAACGCACAUUGCGCCCUCUGGUAUUCCGGGGGGCAUGCCUGUUCGAGCGUCAUUAUAACCACUCAAGCUCUCGCUUGGUAUUGGGGUUCGCGGUUUCGCGGCCCCUAAAAUCAGUGGCGGUGCCUGUCGGCUCUACGCGUAGUAAUACUCCUCGCGAUUGAGUCCGGUAGGUCUACUUGCCAGCAACCCCUAAUUUUUUUAAGGUUGACCUCGGAUCAGGUAGGGAUACCCGCUGAACUUAAGCAUAUCAAUAAGCGGAGGA
rnacentral:misc_RNA from 1 species